UAACACUAUAAAUUUCAACAUAAGAUUUGUUUACUUCCUGAGUACAUGCGAAGUAAUACAUUUAAAAAUAAAAUACAUACAAUUUCCAAUGAUUAUAUACUCAUUGAAUACUGACUUUGUGUUUAGCAAUGUUCGGUUUGCUCAAGCAAAAUCAGAUGUAUGGCAGGAUAAAUCUGAUAAAGGAACUAAUAUUUGAUGAGCAUUUAUAUAUGCCCAGCGCUUUGCUUAUAUCAUCUCAUCUAAUUUUCACAACAACUCUAUGAAGUACAUCUUGUUACCCCAUUUUUCCAGUGAAGAUUCUGAGGCUCAAAAGUGAGUUAAUUGACCUACAUCACAGCUAGUAAAUGAGAGAGGGUAUUUACACCAAGGCUUUAUUGAGCUUAAAAGCCUGAGCUCUUGGCAUUGUAUGAUGAUGGCACCCUCUUGAUGCUGAAGAUGCUUAUAAUCUAACUUAAGAAACAAGAUGAACACAAUGAUCAGCAAUCAUUAAUAUUAAAAAAGCUGAAUUAAUGGCAUAAAGCAAGUGCUAGAAAAGUUUAGAAAGACAGAGUUAAGUGAGUUAAGGCAGUAAGGGAAGACUUCGUGAAGGAAGGGGACCUUAAGUCGGGUCUUGAAGUACAAAAAUGCAUUUGGAUAGCGGAAAGGGAGACAACACUGGGCGAAGAUACAGAGGCUAACGAGCAGGGCUGUCUGUGGAGAUGGACCACUCAGGAGGUCAAAGAAGAACCUUCUUUUUUCUAAGGCUACAACUUGUGUGCAAAAGGCGCUGGCUGGAGGAGAUUUGAUUUACCCUCUGAGGACUUCAAAGGAAUCUGAACCAAACCCGAUACUCAAGUCUCUUAUCCAGUGUGCCUGGAUACAAACGUUUCUACUGUGAACCUUUUGGAACACAUGCGCAAGAGUUUCUCCAGUGUAUCUACAAGAAUUUCUCUGGGAGUGGAAAUUCUAGUGCACGUUCUGCCUUUACAAAGAAUUCUCAGGAAAGAAAGUUAAGUGGUUUCUACCUUCAAAAUGAGCUUUGUGUGUCCGUUCUGUUUUAUUCCUGCCAUUCAUUCCAUCAGCUUACACUUGAACUGUGCCCUCCACCUCCUAUUAAAGGAUGAUCCUAUCUGAAUGAGAGCAGAAUGGACAGAGAGCAUCGCAGAAUGCUAACAACCACCAUCUUCAUCCUUAUCACCAAAGAGCGUAUUUGGAUAAGA
rnacentral:lncRNA from 1 species